rnacentral:tRNA from 1 species
GCUUGUUUAGCUUAGUUGGUAGAGCGCAAGGCUCUUAACUUUGUGGUCGUGGGCUUAAUUCCCACAGUGGGCA